GAUGAAGAACGUAGCGAAAUGCGAUACUUGGUGUGAAUUGCAGAAUCCCGUGAACCAUCGAGUCUUUGAACGCAAGUUGCGCCCGAAGCCAUUAGGCCGAGGGCACGCCUGCCUGGGCGUCACACGUCGUUGCCCCCCCAUCUACUCCUUCGGGAUUGCGGGGGGCGGAUGAUGGCCUCCCGUGCGCCUCGCCGCGCGGUUGGCAUAAAUGCCAAGUCCUCGGCGACGCACGCCACGACAAUCGGUGGUUGCGAAACCUCGGUUGCCCGUCGUGUGCGGUCGUAGCGCAUCGAGGGCUCGAAAAAAUUGCCGGGUUCCGGCUCGGCUUUCAACGCGACCCCAGGUCAGGCGGGGUUACCCGCUGAAUUUAAGCAUAUCAAUAAGCGGAGGA
rnacentral:misc_RNA from 1 species